rnacentral:rRNA from 1 species
UCGNAAUCUUGAACGCAGCCUGCGCUNUNUGGUAUUCCNGAGAGCAUGCCUGUUUCAGUGUCAUGAAAUCUCAACCNCUAGGGUUUCCUAAUGGAUUGGAUUUGGGCGUCUGCGAUUUCUGAUCGCUCGCCUUAAAAGAGUUAGCAAGUUUGACAUUAAUGUCUGGUGUAAUAAGUUUCACUGGGUCCAUUGUGUUGAAGCGUGCUUCUAAUCGUCCGCAAGGACAAUUACUUUGACUCUGGCCUGAAAUCAGGUAGGACUACCCGCUGAACUUAAGCAUAUCAAUAAGCGGAGGAAAAGAAACUAACAAGGAUUCCCCUAGUAACGGCGAGUGAAGCGGGAAGAGCUCAAAUUUGAAAUCUGGCAGUCUUCGAUUGUCCGAGUUGUAAUCUAUAGAGGCGUUUUCCGUGCCGGACCGUGUCCAAGUCUCCUGGAAAGGAGUAUCAAAGAGGGUGAUAAUCCCGUACUUAACACGACCACCGGUGCUCUGUGAUACGUCUUCUACGAGUCGAGUUGUUUGGGAAUGCAGCUCAAAAUGGGUGGUGAAUUCCAUCUAAAGCUAAAUAUUGGCGAGAGACCGAUAGCGAACAAGUACCGUGAGGGAAAGAUGAAAAGCACUUUGGAAAGAGAGUUAAACAGUACGUGAAAUUGUUGAAAGGGAAACGAUUGAAGUCAGUCGUGUUCUUUGGAUUCAGCCAGUUCUGCUGGUCUACUUCCUUGGAACGGGUCAACAUCAGUUUUGUCCGGUGGAUAAAGGUAGUAGGAAUGUGACUUCUCCGGAAGUGUUAUAGCCUAUUAUCACAUACACUGGGUGAGACUGAGGACUGCAGCUCGCCUUUAUGGCCGGCCUUCGGGCACGUUCGAGCUUAGGAUGUUGACAUAAUGGCUUAAA